CUAAAGACGAUGAACAGGCUAGUAGUUAAGCAUGACCGUACAGAGACUCCGGCUGAUGGAAAAGGAGCUUUUAUGCUAAUGAAUCACACCUGGGAGUAAAGAUUUUUUGAUUGAAAGAAGAAUCCGGGAGUCACCCGUUAUCACAAAGAGUUUCGUCGCAAAUGACUGAACUUAAUGAGGCAGUUGCUGUGAGGUAGCUGUGAAAAAAGGUGGCACCACGCAUACUAAAUACGUCCUUUGA
rfam:Lactobacillus reuteri DSM 20016, complete genome.